CUGGGAUUACAGGCGUGAGCCACCGCACCCGGCCCAUGGCAGACUUUAUUAAUGUAUGCCAACAAUGGUGGCAACCUGUCCAUCCCAUGUGUUCUUUUAACCAUAUGAUUCUGGUUCCCCACUGAGAGAUGCCAUCUGUUUCUUCCCUCUGUGACUAUGGACAGAGAGAUGCCACAUAUUCCAGGGCUAGGCCAUAAAAGGAAAUAUAAGUCCCACCGGGUUCUCUUUGGAUACUUGAUCUUGGGAUCUUGGCUGAUACUCUGUGAGCAAACCCAAAUCAGCCCAACUGACAAACUGUGAAGAAACACGGGGAGUAGAACCUGCUGGUGGUCCAGCCAAGUACCAGUGUGUGUGUGGGGAGAUGCCCCAGGCAGUUCCAGCCUGGAACCCAGCCUUGGAGUCUUCUUAGCUGAGACUUCAGACAUGGAUUCCCGAUCCAUCAGAAAAUGGUUGUUUUGUACCGCCAAGUUUUGGGGUUUUGUGUUAAAGCAAGACCUUGAAUGCUAUUCCAAGAAGUUUUAGUGACCGAGGUUUUCACUUGGUGACAAUUGCUAGGGUUAAUAAUUCAGAAGACUAGUCUAUUACUUUCUGCAUUGUUGAUGGCUGAUAUUCAUGAAAAUGUGGGUUUUUUUUAGAUGGAGUUUUGCUCUUGUUGCCCAGGCUGGA
rnacentral:lncRNA from 1 species